GGGCCGAUAGCUCAGUUGGGAGAGCGCUGCGUUCGCAAUGCAGAGGUCGAGGGUUCAAAUCCCUUUCGGUCCA
rnacentral:tRNA from 1 species